AGUCUUAUAUUCAUUAUUUGAAUGAUGUUAGAAUGCAAUUCUAGAGGUGUACACUUAAAUACUAAGACUU
rnacentral:tRNA from 1 species